rnacentral:rRNA from 1 species
CAUUCGGAUCGGAGUCUGCAACCCGACUCCGUGAAGCUGGAUUCGCUAGUAAUCGCGCAUCAGCCAUGGCGCGGUGAAUACGUUCCCGGGCCUUGUACACACCGCCCGUCAAGCCAUGGGAGCCGGGGGGUGCUUGAAGUGCGUCGCCGCAAGGCGCGCCCUAGAGCAAAACCGGUGACUGGGGCUAAGUCGUAACAAGGUACC